rnacentral:rRNA from 1 species
GGCUCAGGAUGAACGCUAGCUACAGGGCUUAACACAUGCAAGUCGAGGGGAAACGAUAUUGGAAGCUUGCUUCCGAUAGGCGUCGACCGGCGCACGGGGUGAGUAACGCGUAUCCAACCUGCCCACCACUUGGGGAUAACCUUGCGAAAGUAAGACUAAUACCCAAUGAUAUCUCUAGAAGACAUCUGAAAGAGAUUAAAGAUUUAUCGGUGAUGGAUGGGGAUGCGUCUGAUUAGCUUGUUGGCGGGGUAACGGCCCACCAAGGCGACGAUCAGUAGGGGUUCUGAGAGGAAGGUCCCCCACAUUGGAACUGAGACACGGUCCAAACUCCUACGGGAGGCAGCAGUGAGGAAUAUUGGUCAAUGGGCGAGAGCCUGAACCAGCCAAGUAGCGUGCAGGAAGACGGCCCUAUGGGUUGUAAACUGCUUUUAUAUGGGGAUAAAGUGAGUUACGUGUAGCUUAUUGCAGGUACCAUAUGAAUAAGGACCGGCUAAUUCCGUG